rnacentral:rRNA from 1 species
CACGUAGGGUGCGAGCGUUGUCCGGAAUUAUUGGGCGUAAAGAGCUCGUAGGCGGUGUGUCGCGUCGGCCGUGAAAACCUGCAGCUUAACUGUGGGCUUGCGGUCGAUACGGGCAUCACUGGAGUUCGGCAGGGGAGACUGGAAUUCCUGGUGUAGCGGUGAAAUGCGCAGAUAUCAGGAGGGAACACCGGUGGGCGAAGGCGGGUCUCUGGGCCGAUACUGAC